CACGUAGGGUGCGAGCGUUGUCCGGAAUUAUUGGGCGUAAAGGGCUCGUAGGCGGUCCGUCACGUCGGGAGUGAAAACUCGGGGCUCAACCCCAAGCUUGCUCUCGAUACGGGCGGACUAGAGGUAGGUAGGGGAGAACGGAAUUCCUGGUGUAGCGGUGGAAUGCGCAGAUAUCAGGAGGAACACCGGUGGCGAAGGCGGUUCUCUGGGCCUUACCUGACGCUGAGGAGCGAAAGCUAGGGGAGCAAACGGG
rnacentral:rRNA from 1 species